rnacentral:rRNA from 1 species
GUGGGGAAUCUUCCGCAAUGGACGAAAGUCUGACGGAGCAACGCCGCGUGAGUGAAGAAGGUUUUCGGAUCGUAAAGCUCUUUCGUUAGGGACGAACGUGCUCUUUGUGAAUAAUGAGGAGUAAUGACGGUACCUAAAUAAGAAGCCACGGCUAACUACGUGCCAGCAACCGCGGUAAUACGUAGGUGGCAAGCGUUGGCCGGAAUUCUUGGGCGUAAAGCGCGCGCAGGCGGGAUAUCAAGUCUGUCUUAAAAGUGCGAGGCUCAACCUCGUGAGGGGACAGCAAAUGGUAUUCUUGAGUGUCGGAGAGGAAAGUGGAAUUCCAAGUGUAGCGGUGAAAUGCGUAGAGAUUUGGAAGAACACCAGUGGCGAAGGCGACUUUCUGGACGAUGUCUGACGCUGAGGCGCGAAAGCUAGGGGAGCGAACGGGAUUAGAUACCCUUGUAGUCC